rnacentral:rRNA from 1 species
UGCAAGUCGAGCGGUAGCACAGAGAGCUUGCUCUCGGGUGACGAGCGGCGGACGGGUGAGUAAUGUCUGGGAAACUGCCUGAUGGAGGGGGAUAACUACUGGAAACGGUAGCUAAUACCGCAUAACGUCGCAAGACCAAAGUGGGGGACCUUCGGGCCUCAUGCCAUCAGAUGUGCCCAGAUGGGAUUAGCUAGUAGGUGGGGUAACGGCUCACCUAGGCGACGAUCCCUAGCUGGUCUGAGAGGAUGACCAGCCACACUGGAACUGAGACACGGUCCAGACUCCUACGGGAGGCAGCAGUGGGGAAUAUUGCACAAUGGGCGCAAGCCUGAUGCAGCCAUGCCGCGUGUAUGAAGAAGGCCUUCGGGUUGUAAAGUACUUUCAGCGGGGAGGAAGGCGAUAAGGUUAAUAACCUUGUCGAUUGACGUUACCCGCAGAAGAAGCACCGGCUAACUCCGUGCCAGCAGCCGCGGUAAUACGGAGGGUGCAAGCGUUAAUCGGAAUUACUGGGCGUAAAGCGCACGCAGGCGGUCUGUCAAGUCGGAUGUGAAAUCCCCGGGCUCAACCUGGGAACUGCAUUCGAAACUGGCAGGCUAGAGUCUUGUAGAGGGGGGUAGAAUUCCAGGUGUAGCGGUGAAAUGCGUAGAGAUCUGGAGGAAUACCGGUGGCGAAGGCGGCCCCCUGGACAAAGACUGACGCUCAGGUGCGAAAGCGUGGGGAGCAAACAGGAUUAGAUACCCUGGUAGUCCACGCCGUAAACGAUGUCGAUUUGGAGGUUGUGCCCUUGAGGCGUGGCUUCCGGAGCUAACGCGUUAAAUCGACCGCCUGGGGAGUACGGCCGCAAGGUUAAAACUCAAAUGAAUUGACGGGGGCCCGCACAAGCGGUGGAGCAUGUGGUUUAAUUCGAUGCAACGCGAAGAACCUUACCUGGUCUUGACAUCCACAGAACUUASCAGAGAUGSUUUGGUGCCUUCGGGAACUGUGAGACAGGUGCUGCAUGGCUGUCGUCAGCUCGUGUUGUGAAAUGUUGGGUUAAGUCCCGCAACGAGCGCAACCCUUAUCCUUUGUUGCCAGCGGUUCGGCCGGGAACUCAAAGGAGACUGCCAGUGAUAAACUGGAGGAAGGUGGGGAUGACGUCAAGUCAUCAUGGCCCUUACGACCAGGGCUACACACGUGCUACAAUGGCAUAUACAAAGAGAAGCGACCUCGCGAGAGCAAGCGGACCUCAUAAAGUAUGUCGUAGUCCGGAUUGGAGUCUGCAACUCGACUCCAUGAAGUCGGAAUCGCUAGUAAUCGUAGAUCAGAAUGCUACGGUGAAUACGUUCCCGGGCCUUGUACACACCGCCCGUCACACCAUGGGAGUGGGUUGCAAAAGAAGUAGGUAGCUUAACCUUCGGGAGGGCGCUUACCCACU